rnacentral:rRNA from 1 species
GAUGAACGCUGGCGGCGUGCCUAAUACAUGCAAGUCGAGCGAACAGACGAGGAGCUUGCUCCUCUGACGUUAGCGGCGGACGGGUGAGUAACACGUGGAUAACCUACCUAUAAGACUGGGAUAACUUCGGGAAACCGGAGCUAAUACCGGAUAAUAUAUUGAACCGCAUGGUUCAAUAGUGAAAGACGGUUUUGCUGUCACUUAUAGAUGGAUCCGCGCCGCAUUAGCUAGUUGGUAAGGUAACGGCUUACCAAGGCAACGAUGCGUAGCCGACCUGAUAGGGUGAUCGGCCACACUGGAACUUAGACACGGUCCAGACUCCUACGGGAGGCAGCAUUAGGGAAUCUUCCGCAAUGGGCGAAAGCUUGACGGAGCAACGCCGCGUGAGUUAUGAAGGUCUUCGGAUCGUAAAACUCUGUUAUUAGGGAAGAACAAAUGUGUAAGUAACUAUGCACGUCUUGACGGUACCUAAUCAGAAAGCCACGGCUAACUACGUG